CGCGAUAGAGAGAGGGCGAGGGUUCGGGUGAGUUGGGUUAGGUUUAGGUUGGGUUAGGAUUAUAUUUAAUAUAUAAAAAUUAGUAGGUUAAAACUAUAUAUUUGAAAAUAAUUGUCGCUAAAGGGUAAUAAAAUAAUAGUAAUAGCGGCCGUUUGGUAAUCACCGCUAAAUAAUUGCCACCAAAAGUCUCUUUUGGUGUAGUGUUCUUAUUAUUAUUAUUAUUAUUAUUAUUUACUUCUGCGCUAACUUUUUAUUAAAAUUAAUAGAGCAUAUAGGGUGUUUGGCCUAACUUUUGAAAAUAUAAUUGUUGAAAAAUUAUAUUUUAAUUUGGAGAAUUGAUUUUGGUUAAAAACUGUAUAAUAUUUGAUUGAGUUUAGUAGAAAAGUAAUUUUUCUGAAAUGAUUUUAUAAAAUUGCUCGGUUGAGUCUAGCAAAAAAAUAAUUUUUUUGAAAUAAUUUUAUAAAAUUUUUUGACCAAAAAAAUUUGUGUUUGCAAAUAAUAAGUUUAAAUUUAAUUGUAAAUUUUAUAGAAUUUAAAAUUUAAAAUUUUCAAAUGUAAAACUUAACUUAAAUUUUAAAAAAUUUAAAUUUUGAAAUUUAAAAUACGAAAUCUACUUUUUAAAUUU
rnacentral:lncRNA from 1 species